rnacentral:rRNA from 1 species
CCUACGGGUGGCAGCAGUGGGGAAUAUUGGACAAUGGGCGAAAGCCUGAUCCAGCCAUGCCGCGUGUGUGAAGAAGGCCUUCGGGUUGUAAAGCACUUUCAGUGGGGAAGAAAGCCUUGGGGCUAAUACCCUCGAGGAAGGACAUCACCCACAGAAGAAGCACCGGCUAACUCCGUGCCAGCAGCCGCGGUAAUACGGAGGGUGCGAGCGUUAAUCGGAAUUACUGGGCGUAAAGCGCGCGUAGGCGGUCUGAUAAGCCGGUUGUGAAAGCCCCGGGCUCAACCUGGGAACGGCAUCCGGAACUGUCAGGCUAGAGUGCAGGAGAGGAAGGUAGAAUUCCCGGUGUAGCGGUGAAAUGCGUAGAGAUCGGGAGGAAUGCCAGUGGCGAAGGCGGCCUUCUGGACUGACACUGACGCUGAGGUGCGAAAGCGUGGGUAGCAAACAGGAUUAGAUACCCCGGUAGUC